GGUUGCAAAUCACAGAAAGACAAGAAUGUUUUCAUUAACCAAAACAUUAAUCAAAAAUUAUACCCCUUGAGGCCAUGUAAUUUGGUUUUUAUUUAGUUUAUUGUCUAUUCAGGUCCAUAAAGCCUACAACUGCAACAAUAUAUACAGUUCAUGAUGACUUAAUAUUUAUUGAAUAGUAAAAUUAAUACAUGUUAAGAGUAGAUCUGGCUUCAGGUAAUCAGGGCUGAAGUGAUAUGUGCAGUGGUCAAGGACAAAUGUCAAUGUAUAAUCUGACCUCCUGCACUCGAAACACACAUCAAUACUUUAAAUGCCUCAGAAGAAAGUCACGUAGGAGAAUAAAUGAAAGAAAAUAGAAAAGUUGUUAAUUAGAUUAAGAAGGAAUUAAACCUGGUUUUAAAAUAGAGAGAUAAAGACAUACAAUAUAAAAAUACUGAAGAACAAGUAGCAUAGGCAGAGGAGCACUAAAGGUAUAACAGGAAAGAAAUAUAUCUAAAAAUAUUAGUUUCUGAGUUAAGAUUGUAGAUGUAGAGACCUGACAAAAAGAGUUGUUCCUACACAUUAACCAACCAAACAAACAAAAAAGCUGGAGAAACUACAAACGCAUGGUCGAUUUCUCCUGAGCCCUUUAGAGAACUGAGGUCAUGGGGAAGACAACAAACUCAACAUCAGGGCAUGCAGGAGCCUGGCCCCAGGCUUUCAAGUGCACCCUGGUGAACUGGUAUAAUUAAGCCAGAACAUUUGAACUAGUUCCUGGUGGCUGUGUGUCAGUGGGUGAGGAGAAUGAGAAACCCUGGAGUCUACAGACAUAGAGUUUACAUUUUUCUGUAUAUUUUUUCUAGGAACACUACAAGGCCUGUUAGAGAAGAAAGGGUAGAAUCCCGAGAAUGUUUUCCCCACAGUGCUGAUAAGGAGAGACCACUAUCCCAUCUACUGCUACAGCUCUGGAGACAGAGCUCUCCCACCUGUCAUAUAGAACACAAGGACCAAUCUGCAGAGAAAGAGCAUCCAAACCUGAUCCAGUGGACACUGGGGAAAAACUCACCACAGCUGAGUGUGGAAAAACAAGGCCAACACACACAUCUCUGCACAGAUACAUCUCCCAUAAAGAAACUAAAGUGUUAAUUUACAGGGCACUGUUGCAGACCCACUUCAGCUGGAAGCUAGGAACAUGGACAAGGAGCCUCUCUACCACCAAGGGAGAGAGAGGAAUGUGCUCUUGUCCUGGCAUUGCAUCCACAGGAGGGGCAGGAAAUUCUUUGAAGGUUUUCAGAUCUCAUGACUACUUUAUUUUGGAGUUGCCAGACUCAGCAAAUAAAAAUACACGACACACAGUUAAGUUUAAUAUUCAGAAAGAAAACUGUUGUGGCAAGUCAGGGACCCCAAACGGAGGGACCGGCUGAAGCCAUGGCAGAAGAACAAGGAUUGUGAAGAUUUCAUGGACAUUUAUUAGUUCCCCAAAUUAAUACUUUUAUAAUUUCUUAUGUCUGUCUUUACUGCAAUCUCUAAACAUAAGUUGUGAAGAUUUCAUGGACACUUAUCACUUCCCCAGUCAAUAUCCUUGUGAUUUCCUAUGCCUGUCUUUACUUUAAUCUCUUAAUCCUGUCAGCUGAGAAGGAUGUAUAUUGCCUCAGGACCCUGUAAUAAUUGCAUUAACUGCACAAAUUAUACAGCGUGUGUGUUUAAACAAUAUGAAAUCUGGGCACUUUGAAAAAAGAACAAGAUAACAGCAGUGUUUAGGAAACAAGAUAGAUAGCCUUAAACUCUGACUGCUGGUGAGCCGGGCAGAACAGAGCCAUAUUUCUCUUCUUUCAAAAGCAAAUGGGAGAAAUAUCGCUGAAUUCUUUCUCAUGAUGGAACAUCCCUGAGAAAGAGAAUGUGUGCCUGCGGGUAGGUCUCUGAACUGGCCCCCCUGGGCAUAGCCUGUCUCUUAUGGUCGAGGCUGCCGAGAUGAAAUAGACUCCAGUCUCCCACAGCGCUCCCAGGCUUAUUAGGAAGAGGAAAUUCCCGCCUAAUAAAUUUUGGUCAGACCAGUUGAUCUCAAAACCCUGUCUCCUGAUAAGAUGUUAUCAAUGACAAUGGUGCCCAAAACUUCAUUAGCAAUUUUAAUUUCGCAUCGGUCCUGUGGUCCUGUGAUUGCGCCCUGCCUCCACUUGCCUUGUGAUAUUCUAUUAUCCUGUUAAGUACUUGAUGUCUGUCACCCACACCUAGUCGCACACUCCCUCCUCUUUUGAAAAUCUCUAGUAAAAACUUGCUGGUUUUUGUGGUUUGUGGGCCAUCACAGAUCCUACCAACGUGUGAUGUCUCCCCCGGACGCCCAGCUUUAAAAUUUCUCUUUUGUACUCUGUCCCUUUAUUUCUCAAGCUGGCCGACACUUAGGAAAAAUAGAAAAAAACCUACGUGAUUAUCGGGGCAGGUUCCCCAAUAGAAAACAAAUAACUUUUUAGUAUAACUAUAAAAUAAACAUUUGCGUGUAAUAUUUCUAUUCCCACCUAUUAUAUAUUACAUACAUACACACACACACACACACACACACAUCCUUUUGCUUACCUGA
rnacentral:lncRNA from 10 species